rnacentral:rRNA from 1 species
UACAGAGGGGGCAAGCGUUGUUCGGAAUUACUGGGCGUAAAGGGCGCGUAGGCGGCCUGCUAAGUCGAACGUGAAAUCCCUGGGCUCAACCCAGGAACUGCGUCCGAUACUGGUUGGCUUGAAUCCGGGAGAGGGAUGUGGAAUUCCAGGUGUAGCGGUGAAAUGCGUAGAUAUCAGGAGGAACACCGGUGGCGAAGGCGGCUAUCUGGACAGAAACUGACGCUGAGGCGCGAAAGCUAGGGGAGCAAACAGG